ensembl:snoRNA SNORD73 Small nucleolar RNA SNORD73
AAUGAAUGACAAAAUGUUUCAGGCCCAAAUGAUAUAUAAUGAUUAAACCGUUGCAUUUUUUCUGACAUU